GCUGAGACUGCAGUCACAUCCCGACCCAGGACUUGUCCUGGUGUGCCACAGUUCUCGGAGAGAAUUUCCUGGUUUUGAUUCACUGGAGGGGACAGUUAAUGUCCACAUAACUGCCCAGAUCAGAAAAGUAG
ensembl:snoRNA